AUAUGAUAGUAAUGUUAGUUCAAUAGCACCUUUUAUGCUACAAUGAGCAGAGGGAGCUAGUCUUGUGUUUAUGGCUAUGUAGGUAUGGAAUCUGUGAAGGCACAUGCAUUUCUAGGUUGACUACGCUCCUUGUAAUUUGAAAUGGAAAAGUCAGUAAAAUCAAACAAGAUAUUUCUACAGACAGAUAUCAUCUGCCAGUGAAGGUACUGUUAAACAAACGUGUCCACAGACAGAUAUCAUCUGCCAGUGAAGGUACUGUUAAACAAACGUGUCCACA
ensembl:lncRNA